rnacentral:lncRNA from 1 species
AGCCACGGAUGUCAUUCACAGAAACUUUUACAAGCUUUUGCAAUUGAUCUAAUUAGUUUGACUAACUUGGGUGUUUACGCAAACAUUUUGUUCUUUUUACAGUAAGGUAAAGAGAUCAAGGUGAAUAGAUGCUCAUGGACUGAUUCAAACCGAGGUGGAGAUAGAUAAGAAAUCAAGCAGGAAGGGCUAACACAACAAGGUACUUGAUUAGUACCUGGUGGCGCAUGUAACCCAAAGAUCUUCACCGCAGUGAAGGAUAACAGUAUGGCAGAAGGUGAAAAGGCAAGUGGUGGGGGUACUCCAGCGUAUGUGUGUGUGAGGUAGAAUGGUCCAGUGAAAGGGAUGGCUCCUAUUUAUAGUGGGGUGAAUAGCUAUGUCGGUUUGAAGACACAUUACAUCUGGCAUGCGUGCGUGGUUUUGCUUUAUGUGAAAGAAAUGAGACAAGGGUCUAUAAAAUAUAUGGAGGUUUGGAGAAGAAUUUGUUUUGCAUGACUAAAUGCUAUUUGAUGUAAUAGCAACGCCGUUGAAAUUAUCGUUAUCUUAUUUAUUUAUUAUAUUAUUUUUUACGGUUUUUACAUCCUUUCCCCCUUAGAGAAAAUUCCGUCAUCAAAAUUUGUUGAGUCGCACCUCGAAAAGGUAAGGAUAUUUUUCUCGGAGGUCAUCUUCUUUUUCCCAAGUCGCUUCUCGCACCGGAUGAUUUCCCUAUUGCAACUUGCAAUAUUUAAUUGUUUUACUCCUGAGUUUCUUUUCCUCGGUGUCCAAAAUAUGACUAGGAUGCUCCUCAUGCGUUAGGUCCUUUCGGAGGGUUAAUUCUUCCUCCGAGACUCUCUCAAAUAGUGGCUUUACGCUCUUGCGUAAUUGGGAAACAUGAAAUACAUCAUGAACCCCUUGUAGGUGCGCUGGCAAUUCUAAUUUGUAUGCCACUGUCCCUCUUCUUUUUAAGAUCUGAUAGGGACCAAUAUAUCGCGGACUUAGUUUUUCUUGUACUCCAAAGCGCUUGACACCUUUAAUUGGUGAGACUUUUAAAUAAACAAAGUCUCCGGGUUGGUAUUGUAUAUCGCGUCGUCUCUUGUCCGCAUAGCUCUUUUGCCGGCUUUGCACUGUCUUGAGCCGCUCUCUAAUUAUACGGACUUUUUCCUCGGUUUCUUGGACCAAGUCGGGUGCUAAGAGUUUCUUUUCUCCGGUUUCCACCCAACAUAUUGGGGUUCGGCAUCUUCGGCCGUAUAAGGCUUCAAAUGGGGACAUACCAAUACUAGCUUGGUAGCUAUUGUUAUACGCGAACUCUGCUAAGGGUAAGUGCUUGCUCGAUGAGUCACCAAAUUCUAGCACACAAGCCCUUAGCAUGUCUUCUAUGAUUUGGUUCACCCUCUCGACUUGACCGCUAGUCUGGGGGUGGUAAGCGGUACUAAAAUCCAAUUUUGUUCCUAAUGUUUCUUGUAAUUUUUCCCAGAACUUGGAUGUAAACAUAGAUCCACGAUCUGACACUAUUCUGGAAGGUGUUCCAUGUAGAGCUACUAUCCUGUGGAUAUAUAGCUCAGUCAAUUUUUCUCUGGAGCAACCCGGGGCUAAAGGGAUAAAAUGGGCAGCUUUAGUGAGUCGGUCAACUAUGAUCCAUAUGAUUUCCUCUUGAUUUCUUGUCUUGGGCAGUCCGGUGAUAAAGUCCAUGUGGAUUUCCUCCCAUUUCCACUGCGGAAUUUGGAGAGGUUGCAACAAUCCUGGUGGUCGUCGGUGUUCUGCCUUUACUCUCUUACAAGUGUCACACUCGUCCACAUACUGAACAAUUUCUCUUUUCAUAUUUCUCCACCAAAAUGUACCUUUGACAUCCCGGUACAUUUUUGUGCUACCAGGAUGUAUGGUGUACGGAGUGUUGUAUGCCUCCUGGAGUAUUAUUUGCUUAAUAUCAAGGAUAUUUGGCACACAUAAUCGGGUUUUAUACCAAAGUGACCCGUCUUCUGCUAUUCGAAACUCUGAUGGUUGACCUUCUUGUAUUCUGCGUUUUUCCUCACAAAUGAACUCAUCUUUGGUUUGGUUUUCCUUGAUUUCGUCCAACAAAUUGGGUCUGAUUGUUAAUGUGGUUAGGAUUUUCUCACCCGGUUUAUGUAUGAAUUCAAUUCCCAUCAUUCCUAGCUCAUGUAUCAGAUGCUUAUCAUAGGUUGGGAUCUUGACAUGAUUGCAUGAGGUUUUUCAGCUAACGGCGUCUGCCACCACAUUAGCCUUUCCUAGGUGGUAGUUAACACUAAGGUCAUAGUCCUUAAUGAGUUCUAACCACCGUCUUUGUCUCAUAUUCAACUCCUUUUGCGUGAAGAUAUACUUGAGGCUUUUAUGGUCCAUGUACAGUUCACAAUGGUUUCCAUAAAGGUAGUGCCUCCACAUCUUCAAUGCAAAUACCACAGCAGCUAACUCGAGGUCAUGGGUGGGGUAGUUUUGUUCAUGGGGCUUUAACUGGCGAGAGGCAUAGGCUAUGACUCUCCCAUCUUGCAUUAGCACACAUCCCAAACCAACUCUAGAGGCAUCGCAAUAUACUAUGAAUGAUUUGCCUGGUUCGGGUAGAUCCAAUACAGGAGCGGUUGUGAGCCGUUUCUUUAACUCCUAAAAACUUUGCUCACAUUUGUCAUUCCAGUCAAAUGGAACUCCCUUCCUUAGUAAUUUGGUCAUAGGGGCUGCUUUCUGGGAGAAGCCUUCUAUGAACCUUCGAUAAUAUCCAGCUAAACCAAGGAAGCUACGAAUCUCUAUUACGUUGGUUGGGGAUUUCCAUGCCAACACUGCAUCCACCUUAGCAGGGUCUACAGCUAUCCCUUUCCCUGAUAUAAUGUGUCCUAAGAAGGACACUUCUUGUAGCCAAAAUUCACACCUUUUGAAUUUGGCAUAGAGCUAUUUUUCUCUCAAGGUCUGUAGCACUAUCCGGAGGUGUUCAGCAUGUUCCUCAAUACUUCGAGAGUAUAUGAGGAUAUCAUCGAUGAACACUACCACAAACUUAUCUAAGUAGGGCAUGAGGACUAGGUUCAUCAGGUUCAUGAAAACUGCUGGUGCAUUUGUGAGCCCGAAGGGAACAACCAUGAAUUCAUGGUGACCAUAUCGGGUUAUGAAAGCAGUCUUAGGUAUUAUCUUCUUCCUUUACUUUUAGUGGGUGGUACCCUGACCGGAGAUCUAUUUUUGAGAAUACGGUGGCUCCUUUCAAUUGGUCAAAUAGAUCAUCUAUCCGGGGUAGUGGGUACUUAUUCUCAAUGGUCGCCUCAUUCAAGGCUCGAUAGUCCACACAUAGCCUCAUACUUCCGUCCUUUUUCUUAACGAAUAAGAUUGGUGCUGCCCAAGGUGACACACUUGGUCGAAUAAACCCCUUUUCUUCUAGUUCAUCCAAUUUUUUUCUUAAUUCCUUUAGUUCUUCCGCAUACAUAUGGUAUGCUCGUUUUGAUAUGGGUGCCGUACCUGGGAUGAUAUCAAUAGUGAACUCUAUCUCCCUGUCUGGUGGCAUCCCGGGCAAUUCUUCCGGAAAUACGUCCAAAAAUUCUUGGACCACAGGUACAUCUUUAGCCUCCUUUUUGUCCAAAGUGGCUACUGAGGCUUGGUUUGAUUUCGCUCGGGUUCUUCUACUACUAAAGGUUAUCCGUUUAUUAUCUGGGCAUCUCAAGGAUAUGGAUUUUUCUGCACAAUCCAUUCUUGCUCCAUGAUUCGCUAACCAGUCCAUUCCAAGAAUAACGUCUAACCCUCUUAAGCCAAUGACAAAUAGGCUAGCAUUAAAGGCUAUGCCCUCAAUGCAAAUGGGACGGUUGUGGCAGACAUGCUCAACAAUUAUUGGGCCUCCAGGUGAAUCUACUUUUAUGGGUUUGGAUAGGGGGGUCCGGUCUAGAUUAUGCGUCUCAACAUAGCGUUGCGAUAUGAAAGAAUGUGUUGCUCCUGGGUCAAACAAUACUAGUCGUACUCCGGGAGGGAUUAGUAGGUUACCCGUCACUAUGUCUGAAGCCGACUCCACUUGUGCCACAUCCAUAUGUGCCAGACGGAAUGGUCCACGUGCAAGACCGCCACGACCACGCCCACGGUUGGCAGUGGACACACUCCCGUGUACUUGUGCUGAAUUAGCCUGGCGCUUAUUUUGAGGUGGAACAACUCCAUUUGUGCCAGAUUGUGGUUGACCCUUGCUUGGGCACUGAUUUUUGUAGUGUCCCUUUUGUCCACAACCAAAACAGACAACGCUCGCCUUUGGGCAAUCUCGAGCCAAGUGUGGUCCACUGCACACAUGACAUUUGAUAGGGGCUCUCGGAGGCAUAAAAGGUGGUCUAGGAGCUUGACAGAAAGGAGGACGGACGGGCCCGACCAUUGGCAUGCGGACUAGCCCAACAGGACGAUUCCCACUUCUCAUGGCAAACCUCGGGUCCAUCCUAGCUUUCUUCCUUCGCUCUUCCUCUACGGCGAUUUGCCGGUUCUCGAUUGUAAUGACUCGGUCUACUAGUUCCCGAAACUCGGUUAUUUUUAUAGGAGCUAUAAUAAGUUGUAUGGACGGGUUCAAUCCUUCUAUGAACCGGUACACCUUUUUGGUCUCAGUGUUUGUGUCCUCUGGUGCAUAGCGGGAUAGUGAGUUAAACUCAUCUAGGUACUCUGCGAUGGUCUUAGACCCUUGCUUGAGGUUCAGGAAUUCCUUCCUCUUUAUUUCCAUCGCACCUUGCGGGACAUAGUUAUCUCGAAAUCUCCUCUUAAAUUUGUCCCAAGUAACUAUGUGGUUUUCGGGUAUGAUAAUUUGGACAUUUCUCCACCAUGUGGCAGCAGGACCAAUUAACUGAUAGGACACAUACCGAACUUUUUCUUGGUCCGUGAAUCCCACGGUGUUAAGUUUCAGCUCUAUGUCCAUCAACCAAUCAUCUGCAGCUAAUGGAUCUGUGGCGGUUGAAAAGGUUGGUGGUCUAGUCUUUUGGAAGUCUCCAAUCGUGACACAUUGUUCUGGGUUUUUAGUCAGUUGGCCUCUCAUCAUACCGAACAUCUGCUCCAUGAAUUUAUUCUGGUGUUCUAGAGAGUCUCGAUGAGACUGCUCCAUCCACUGAUACAUUAGAGCAAGUUGAUCGGAUCCUGGGGCAUAAUGGGGUAAUGGUGGAGAUGGAGGUAACGUCACUCUAGACGGCAAAUCUUCCAUGUUCCUUAGCGACUUGGGUGCUAAAUCUGAUGGGUUCCCAUUGUCUUCGAACGACUGACUACCAGAUGCCAUCGCUACCGAUCUGGUGGGCAAGGCAUAGGUUAUAACGAUAGCUACUACAUGUGAAAAUAUUUUAUUUAUUUGAUUAGAGGUGAGAUUUUAGCUCAAACAGUACACUUUACACUUCUUGUUUUGGAGCAUCAAUUUAAACAGUGCACUUAACAGCGGCAUACUACAAAAUUUUGCAAAAAAAAAAUUUUACUUGUUGGCCAAAGAAUAAAAGCAGUCAAACAAAGUGAUUUUUUUAUCAUGACAGAGGCAAGAGAUUAAUCCCAAGUCAAAAAUAGAGCCACUUGCACAUCACGUACUGGAUUAAAAGCAUGCAAUCAUCAAUUGUCUGACAUACAUCAGUUGAACUCAUGAAGUGCUAGGAAAAAGAUAGCAGCAUCAACACAUAAUAUAUAUACUAGCCCAACACGUGAUGUACCAAGGCAUGUACUUGAAUGAAGAGAUCACCCCAAAAAAUCUACCAUACAUCAGACGCCAUUAUGAGGCAUUGGCAAUAAUGUGGCAACAACAUCACAUACAAUAUUCCAUCAUUCAGAGCAAGGAGCAUAAAAAGAACCAGAAUUUCAAAUGAAUAUGGAGGCAUGGCAUAUUCAUCACACGAGAUCAUCUAGUAAUAGAAUAUCAGUACAUCCAUAAGUCCACCAGUCCACAUGGAUACAUCACAUAUCAUAGCAGCAACACCACACAUGACUCUGUGUCGCACAUCAUCAGGCUACCACGGCUAUCUACACGUGUACCUGGAUCAAAAGUAUACCUGCCGACCUAUCUGUCCGUCAGAACUAGUCUGGCUAACUACGGCUGUGCAAACUCUGGAAGGGUAGCUAUGACUACAAGACCUUUCCAGAUAUGUACAGAAUCCAAAAGGACAGCCUCCAUGCAUCUGCCUAAACAUCUAAUAAGUGGCGGAACCAACUCUGGGAGGUGUAGCUAUGAUGCUACAACCUUGCCAGAAUACUAACUACUACUACUAGUAGCACGUCAAUCCUCCCUAACAAGAGGACUAGGUGAAACGGUGAGGAGCAAGUCGGGGUCGUGGGCAGAAGUCGGUGCAGGCAGACACACACUCGGUGCAGCAGCGUCAGACUCGGGUGCGCUGAUGGUGCUAAGAGGGUACUCAGAGGGUGUGACGUCGGAAGCGACACGAAGGUACUCCGGGGGCUGAGAAGACACCUGGCAGGAGUCGAGUGCUAGAAGCUCUGAGUAAGUGACGCCAAUCACUGAAAAGUCGGGGGUGCCAUCGGGAGAAGGUGGAGUAGGGUCGGUAGCUGGAGAACCUGGUGGAGUGUGGGGACUGUGCUCUGGAGGUGGUGGAACUACAAUGGAACUCGGAGUAGGAGCAACCUGAGAGGAAGGCUCGUCAGCGACAAGAGACUCCUGGUCAAUCGGGUACCCUACCCGGCCUAGAGAGGCGGAAGGUGAGCCGUCGAUUUGAAGAGGGUUGAGGGCCAUACCCGGACGGGUGUAGUCCCUCAACGCAGUGGACAUCUCACUGUUUGCCCGCUCAAGCUCGGGACAACACCUCUGAAGAGUGUCAACCUGAUCUAAUAGGUCCUGAACAAGCUGAGGUGCAGGUGGACGCUCGUACGGUGUGGAGGGACGCGAUACUGCAUGAGAGGAGGAACCCCUGAUAACUCUAGGAGUUGGGUGGUCCGCACGAGCGGGUGGGACUGUCGGGUAAAGAGGUGGACGAGCGGUAGUCGAAGCUGGUGGUGGUAAAAAUGUGGGAGGUAAAACAGGAGGACGUGGUGAAAGUGGAGGGAAAGUGGAAGUGGACUCAAAAGGCGAAGGAGCGACAAUGGGCAUAGGUGUAGACGAACUCCCUGCCUCCUCUAGCUGAUGAGGCCACUCGCCUCUGCCCACGUACUGAAGGAGAGGGUGGUAGGCGUGGAAAAGGUGUAAAGCGGCAUCCCGUGCCGCACCCUAAAGUGCUGAAACAAAGUCGUAAUGUGCAACACUGUACCUAGAAGGGACAUCUAAGCUCUCAGGAAUGUGCACUGUGACUAAGUACCCCGUGGAACACGGGUCGUGAAACACUGUGUAGUACGGUGCAAUCAACACACCCAGAAGACCAAGAAGCUCAACCAAGAACAGAGCAAAACCACCAUACUCAGCACCCGUACCAAACAUCCUACCACUCGUCAUCCUACAUUAAGCAAUUUAAGAAUUUAGUUAGUUAUAACACAGUGUAAAAUUAAUUUUACCAAGGACAGUAAAUAAAUAAAUAAACACAUUUUUCUUGCACAAUUGUGUGGUCUAAAUUAUUUAAUCUUCACUUGACUUGAGUCAUUUUUUAAAGAAAACUUUUAAUUUAUUUUAGGUAAGGAGGGAACCUAUCUUUCCUAGGGCUCAGAUGGUUUCUAAUCAAGUACAUGACUGUUUUCUUAACGUUGCUCUGAUACCACCUCUUCUGUGAUGCCCCAUUACGUCCAACAGAGUCAGGCAUUACGGAAGCCGUCACUUCAGAUUUGCGCCAGGAUCAGUUAAGGAGAACAGUAUCAUGUACAAGACGGAGCGGCUGACAUGAGUAGGCAAGCUUUUAUUACAUAGACACCUCAAGUAUCGACUAAGCCUAAGCGGCCAUGACGAUUGAUCGUCGCCCGCCUCUAGUACGAGCCUCUUAGACCAACCAUGGAGGGCAUCUACUCUUCAUAGCCUUGAUUGUCGACUUCCUCAUAAUCAUACUCCACUUCAGAAUAACCGAAGUCAUCAAGAUGACCAUACUCAUCAUAAGUACCAUUCUAUAUCGCCUCGGAGUUCUCAUAACUCACUUGCUCUGAAAAAAACAUAAGUGCAGCUGAGUACGUAUAAAAUACGAACUCCGCAAGUCACCGGGAAAAGUGGAUGCAUGAGUUUUUUUAGAGGAAAAACUUUAUCGGCCAUGGCUACCACCAACGAGCCAUUAACUCAAAAUACUAUGCAGGUAAAAAAAUUUCCCUUAAUCCAUUUUGUUGAAAACCAAAUUUUAUUCAUAAAAUCUACUAGCGACAGAGCGACGUGGGAUCUUACAUCCUGUGUUAGAGAAAAACCCACACGACGCACUUCCAAUCCCGAAAGCUGGGAGUGAUAUCACAUCUACUCUUAUCAGAGGUGUACUGCUUUGCCCAUAGCAUCACUUGGUCCAAGUCGUCCAUGCGCUACCCGUGCGCACGACUAGACCAAGGAACCAGAACCUUUGACCAGCCCAUACACUACCUCUGCUUUUCCACCUUGCCUUACUAAAGGCCCGCGGGUCGAGACCCCUGACCGGCGGUCCCGCCCUAGGGUGACUGUACCUAUCCGGCUACAGCCACUGUCGGUGUCAAAACCGGUGGAUCUCGGGCAGGGGGUCCCGAACUGUGCGUCUAGGCCGGAUGGUAAUAGGAGGCAAGGGACACGAAGUUUUACCCAGGUUCGGGCCCUCUCGAUGGAGGUAAAACCCUACGUCCUGCUUGAUUAAUAUUGAUGAUAUGGGUAGUACAAGAGUAGAUCUACCACGAGAUCGAGGAGGCUAUACCCUAGAAGCUAGCCUAUGGUAUGAUUGUUGAUGUGUAUGUUGUCCUACGGACCAAAACCCUCCGGUUUAUAUAGACACCGGAGAGGGUUAGGGUUACACCAAGUCGGUUACAAUGGUAGGAGAUCUUCAUAUCCAUAUCGCCAAGCUUGCCUUCCACGCCAAGGAAAGUCCCUUCCGGACACGGGAUAGAGUCUUCAAUCUUGUAUCUUCAUAGUCCAGGAGUCCGGCCAAAAGAUAUAGUCCGGCUGUCCGGACACCCCCUAAUCCAGGACUCCCUCAGUUUGGUGCUUUCAUUGAGAGUUCCUCUGUGUCGUGGCCAUCAAGAAGGAUGCCUCGCCCCGUCUUUAAAGAUGGCACCGUUGCUAAGGGAGCUUUGGUUGUCGGCCAAACCCUCCGGCUAGCUGGUUUUCUUAUGACCGCCUGUUCGGCUUCUGCGCCGACGAUGACCUCUUGAGCCAUCGAAAACAAUCUUUAUGUCAGCUCGGAACUCGCCGAGCAGUUAUAUCCAAUGGAGCUUUCCUCCAUAAACGAGCUCUUGGAUCGCUUCGCCGCCCUGGGAGUUGCCACGGAUUACGACCAGAUUGGGCCUAAACCCGAUCUAAGAGAGAUUAACUCUCCCCAAGUCACCCAUCAUGUUGCCGUGAUAGAGGGACAGUGCGGCGACCCUUCAUCUAUCUUAAGGACUCGCUACGUCCGGAUUCCCGAUCCCUCCAAGCCGGAUACCUGUGGAGGGGAGGAUAUCACUCAAGACCUGAAUUUAGAGUCAGGCGACGGGCUGGAUUCAUUGGACAACAUCCAGGAAUCCAAAUUUUCGAGUUCGGAAAUUCCUCGGCCUCUGAGCCUUAGAUGGGGUGAGGCUUCGAAUUUAAUUCCACCCACCCACCCCAACAUAAGCGAUCUAUCCAAAAUCAGGCAAGAACCCGAUGAAACAGUACAUCAUUACUGUGCGAGAUUCCUCCUGAUUAAGAACAGGUUAAGGGACUGCCGCGAGGAAGACGCAUUCUCAAUCUUCUGCAAUAAUUGCACGGACAAGGGAAUACUCAACGCCAUAAGUCGCCGUGAUAUUACACGCUUCGCUGACUUGGCGUCCAUUGUACGAAAGUAAUGUGCAAUGGAAAGCGCCUGGAAAACCGAAAUAAAAUUUUGGGAUAAUCCGGCCCUGAAUACAAACCCAGUCCGAAAUAAAAGGGUGCAUCAUCACCAGUCACCCGGGUCAAGCAUUAAAAAGCAAAACCCUCUACAAGGCAUGGAACCAUACUGGAAGGAUGGCUUAAUGGACCCUGUAAAAUUCACAGUACAGAGACGCCACACCAACUCACAACCUCAGAGCAUGUUGGAUACUCUGGCAAAUGGCCAAAAUUGGUGAAAAUCUCCUAAUUCCGAAGGCCACAGAAAGCCACCCCAGAGACACCAAUACGAUAUUAACAGUCUUCGAGACUUUGGCAUCAAAUAAUAUGCGAAAAAGGACACUCCGCAGCCUUGCCGAAGUCUACCAAGUAGCAACAAUAAACCCAUGGAGUGACACGGCUAUUAACUUUAACGCCAGUGAUGAACCUAAAUCCCGAACAGCCCGAGCACCAGCCGCAUUGGUCCUCAGUCCAAUAGUGGACGACUUUCGUCUUACCAAGGUACUCAUGGACGGCGGCAGCGGAUUGAACCUCAUUAUGAGGAGACCCUUCAAAAAAUGGAAAUAGACUAGAACCGCAUUGAGCGAAGCAGCACAACCUUUAGAGGAAUAAUCCCCAGUCGGGAAGCGCGCUGUACAGGAAAAAUCAUACUAGAUGUGGUGUUCGGCACGCAGGAUAAUUACAGGUCCGAAGAGGUCACGUUCCAGGUGGCUCCGUUCAGCAGCGGUUAUCACGCUCUGCUAGGGCGCGAAGCGUUUACAAUCUUCCAAGCAAUACCCCAUUAUGGGUACAUGAAGCUCAAGAUGCCCGGGCCUAACGGGAUCAUCACUCUCGCUAGUGAUCCGGACAUAGCACUCCGCGCCGAAAACAAGACAGCCGCACUGGCCCUCGAGGCACUAUCCGAAGCCCUAGCGGCUGAGGAGCUAACUGCGCUACGCUCUACGGUGAAUAGGGACGAUGUGGUACUCGACAAAAGAUCCAAGUCCACCUCCUUUAAACCGGUGGACGAAAUAGUCAAAUUCCAAGUCCAUCCAACGGACCCCAAUAAAACAGCUUCCAUUGGGGCACAGUUAAACCCUGAUGUCGACGCCGCAUUGGGAUAGUUCCUAUGAGAGAACUGGGACAUUUUCUCCUGGCACCCUUCAGACAUGCCAGGAAUCCCACGCAGGCUGGCUGAGCACAACUUAAAUAUCCAAGAAGGAUUCAAACCUGUCAAACAGGCUCUUCGGCGUUUUUCCGAACCUAAGAGACAGGCCAUGGGAGAGGAGCUAGCAAAGCUCUUGGAGGCCGGAUUCAUCAGAGAUAUAAAACAUCUGGACUGGCUAGCAAACCUGGUGAUGGUACCAAAGAAGGACAAAUCAUGGCGCCUGUGUGUUGAUUUUAAAGACCUUAACAAGGCUUGCCCAAAGGAUACCUUCCCCCUCCCCCGCAUCGAUCAAAUUAUCGACGCUACCGCAGGACACGAUUCGUUGUGUUUCUUCGACGCACAUUCUGGCUACCAUCAAAUCAAGAUGGCAGAACCAGACCAAUCCGCAACCGCAUUUAUGACACCAUACGGGCCAUUCUGCUUCAACACAAUGCCCUUCGGGCUCAAAAACGCCGGCGCAACAUAUCAGCGCAUGAUUCAGACAUGUCUGGCAAGCCAGAUCGGCAAAACAGUGGAGGCAUAUGUAGAUGAUGUGGUCGUCAAAACAAGACAUGUUGAAUCUCUAGUAGAGGACUUGAGGCUCACAUUCGAUAACCUCCGAACAUACGACAUCAAGCUCAACCCGGAAAAAUGCGUUUUCGGCGUUCCUGCCGGAAAACUCUUGGGCUUCAUAGUAUCCGGUAGAGGAACUGAAGCAAAUCCGGCCAAGAUCCGAGCCCUGUCGCAACUGGAUAUCCCAAAGGACCUCAAACAAAUACAAAAGUUAACCGGAUGCGUGGUGGCUCUAAGCCGCUUUAUCUCCCGCUUGGGAGAAAAGGCCCUACCCCUUUACCGCCUCCUUCGGCACACCGAAAACUUCAAAUGGACGGAUGCAGCCACGGCCAGACUCAACGAAAUAAAAGCCAUACUGGCAACAAACCCAGUCCUGGCCGCGCCAAACAUUGGCGAACCAAUGCUAUUAUACAUUGCAGCAACACACCAGGUUGUAAGCGCAGUACUCGUCGUCGAACGAGAAGCGGACGGACACAAAUUCCCCCUUCAAAAGCCGGUCUACUACGUGUCCACUGUCCUCACUCCCUGCAAAUCACGGUACCCGCAUUAUCAAAAGAUUGCGUACGCGGUAUUCAUGGCAUCCCAGAAGCUACGACACUACUUUCAAGAGUGUUCAAUAACAGUAGCCUCGGAAGUACCACUUAACGAUAUUAUAAACAACCGUGACGCAACGGGCCAGAUUGCAAAAUGGGCCAUUGAGCUCCUCCUGUUCGACAUAACUUAUAAGCCUCGACGAGCCAUCAAAUCGCAAGUCUUGGCCGACUUCGUCGCAGAAUGGACAGAGGCCGAACUCCCUAAAGAAUACGGCACAUAUUCAAAUUGGAUCAUGCAUUUCGACGGCUCCAAGAUGUUGGCCGGACUGGGGGCUGGCGUCGUUUUGACGUCCCCCACAGGAGACACAGUUCAAUACGUACUACAGAUUAUGUACACGGACUCCAACAAUGGAGUCGUAUAUGAGGCCCUUUUACAUGGUCUCCGGAUGGCAGUAUCCAUGGGCAUCCAACGUCUAGAGGUGCGCGGGGACUUGAACCUUGCAAUAUCCCAAAUAAAUGGAGACUUCGAUGCCAAGGAUCCAAAAAUGGCAGCUUACCGCAAUGCCGUCCUAAAAAUGUCAGCUCGGUUCGAGGGGUUCGAAUUUCACCAUAUAGCCCGGGAGAAUAAUCAGGCGGCAGAUGUCCUGGCACGCAUCGGCGCAAAGCGCGAUGUAGUCCCCCCCAACAUCUUCUUGGAAAGGCUGUUCAAGCCAUCCGUAGUAUGGGAAGGGGAGCCGAACAAUAACAGCCCGGACCCAACCGCACUGCCCGACACCGAACAUUCUGACACAAUCGGAGGCUCUACCAAUGAAAUAACACCUCCAGCCCACGUAAUAAUGGCCGUCAUCGCCCCGUGGACAGAACCAUUCCUCGCCUACCUUACUAGGCAGGAACUCCCCGAGGACCAAAAUGAGGCACGCUGCAUAGUGCAGCGAUCUAAAGCCUACAGAGUCCACGAGGGAGAGCUUUAUAAGAAAAGCACUACCGGAGUCCUUCAAAGGUGCAUCUCUGAAGAGGAGGGGCGGAACCUCCUGGCUGAAAUUCAUGCCGGACUCGGCGAUCAUCACGCUGCAGCCCGGUCCCUUGUAAGCAAGGCCUUCCGUACAGGCUUUUAUUGGCCGACGGCUCGGGCAGACGCUCAGGACUUAGUCCAACGAUGCACCGGUUGCCAACUCUUUGCAAACCAAAGCCAUAGGCCACCCACCGCCCUCCAAACUAUCCCCAUUACUUGGCCCUUCGCGGUCUGGGGGCUUGACAUGGUUGGACCCCUUAAAGGCGGAACCCACAAGCAAAAAUACUUACUGGUUAUGGUGGAUAAGUUCACCAAAUGGAUAGAAGCCAAGCCUGUUAAGACGGCCGAAUCCGGACCAGUGAUAGACUUUAUAUCCGGGGUUGUACACCGUUACGGCGUCCCCCACAGCAUCAUCACUGAUAACGGCACAAACUUCAUGGCCGACGAGGUAAAACUCUGGUGUAAAAACAUGGGCAUCAAGCUCGGUUAUGCCUCCGUCUAUCACCCACAAACUAACGGCCAGGUCGAACAUGCAAAUGGUCUUAUCAUGAGUGGCAUCAAACCCAGAUUAGUGCAGUCCCUCAAGGAAUCUAACACGCACUGGGUAGAGGAGCUCGACUCCGUACUCUGGGGGCUAUGGACCACGCCGAAUCGCACCACCGGAUAAUCACCAUUCUUUAUGGUGUACGGCGCAGAGGCAGUUUUUCCUUGCGACAUAAUUCAUGACUCACCUCGAGUGCGCAUGUAUGAAGAAAGAGAAGCCGAACUCGAUCGGCAGGACAGCUUGGACGCAUUGGAGGAGGAGCGUGACGUGGCAAAAGCCCGUUCCGCAUUCUAUCAACAGCAGGCUCGAAGAUACCAAAGCAGAGAAGUAUGGGCCAAAAAUUACAACGUUGGCGAAUUAGUUCUACGACUACCAGACAAGAAAAAGGACAAACUCAAGCCCAAGUGGGAGGGUCCCUUCAUAAUUGACCAAGUCCUGACUGGUGGAGCGUACUGCCUGCGGGAUGCAUCGGAUAACCGAGUCGAGCCAAACCCAUGGAACGCAGCACAUCUCCGAAGAUUCUAUGCCUAGCACCGGACUCUGUGUUCGUUCCCUUCCUCUGUCCAUUUUUUAUAUAUUUUCUGUCUUACAUUUCUCUUCCUCUCCCUCUCUCUCUCUCUCUCUCUCUCUCUCUCUCUCUCUCUCUCUCUCUCUCUUUUAUAGCCUCUAAAGGCUCAUAAAGUGACGCGCUAUCCGCGCUCAUUAAACCUGGGGGCUUCUUUAAACAGAAGCUUAUUCAUACGGGCUUCAUGCCCAACACAUGUGUCACACUUCCGCAUGUACCUUUUAUUCACCAUUAUAUGCAUCGAUAUGACUUAAGUUUUGGCCAAGCUGGGUUGCCUGGCUCCUGUGCUUACCCCUACGUUCCCGAUUGUUCGGCUAGGUGGUAAAGGGAGCACCUCUACGAUUGUUACUAUCGGGUCAGUCGGACGUCUACCUCAGACUGGGUGAAGCCGAAAGCUAGCGUUCUUAAGGGAAUAUUCGGUCGGUGAACUAAAGAUGAUCUUUUUUUAUUUUUAUCUAUACGCCCCCAGAUGUUUUUCUUGCGUUUCUUUUCGCAGCAUGGACAUGCACCUUAGGGCAUGCCUCCUAGGGAAAGGAACCCCUAACGGAACUAUUCUACCUGGAAGAUGUUUCUUACUAACCAUGUAAUAUAGCAUAACUAGUCGGGCACUUGUCUUUUCAAGCCCUAAUGACCCCUACGCCUGGUCUCCAUGCAUUCCCCGGUUUUUAUAUAACCGCAUGGGAAUUCGGACACACUACGGACCGUCAGGUCCCGAGGCUGAAGCGAAAAGGUCAGCCACGACAAAUGAUCUACAAUCCGGCUAGAAGGCAUUAUAAAUAUCAAUUAAAUUACAUAGUCAUUUUGACUGGUCGUAUUCCUCUUCAAUACCAUCUAACAGGCUAUCUAAUUUACAGUCCUGCUGGGAAUACUUUGCGGCCAACUCUACUUGGCCUUACAGGGAUCUCCUUCCCAUCGGGCCCUACAGGACCGACCUCGGCCAUGUGGUUGGGGUCAGCCUUUGCGUACCGCGUCUUCACCAUGGCCCAGGCCUCCCUAGCGCCUUGACGGCAGGCCGAUAUCUUCCACAAUCGGAAGCUCCGCCGUGCUCCCUUUAGCUUCUCCGCGAGCUCUCCAAGACCUUCGGGCAUGGAGACGGAUGGCCACAGGGCCUGGGCGACGCCUUGCAUCACCUGUCGAACUCGAUCGAGCAGUUGCGAGAGCUCGGGAAGAAGGUCACCCGCAGAACCGAGCAUCUCCUCUGCAGGACGACCUGUUAGCACACCUACACACAUUGCUCUGUUAGUCGACUUCCCCACCGAACUUUCUUUCAAAGGUUCGUUCAAGAACUUACUAAAUAUGCCGCGCCGAAGCCGCUGAUUCUCCUUCACGGAGUCUGACAGCUGGGCACGAACAUCUUUCAGCUCGACGCCCAGCUCGGUGUUGGCAUCUUGGAGAUCAUUCUUCUCCCCCCUCACCUUUGUCAGCACCUUCUCACCAGCCUUUAGCUAGCGUAGGAGGUGUUGCCUUUCCGGAUUCAAUCCGGCGCCAUCUGCAACUUCAUUUGUCAUAUUCACAUCAAAGCCGUGCUUCGCAAAAUACUUAUCUUUCGAAGUGUAUAUUACCAGAGGGGGUCUCCUUGGGCUCCCCUGCCGCGGCUAGUGCGGCCUCAAGUUGGGCUUUGCACUCUUCUAGCUCCUUGGACAGUAGGGAAUUCUUUUCUGUAAGAACCUGCAUCACAAAUGAUCCUUAAAUCAGUUAUUCUAACUGUUUCAAGUCUCGGGGGCUACUGGUAUAUACAUAUAAUUACCAGAUUUUUCUUACCCGUAUGUCUUUUACAUACUGCUCUGUGGCUCUGGCUAGACCAUUUUGAGCGGCACGGAGAUACGCAUCUCCCGAGUUGAAGGCAUCUAACACCCCUUGGGAGAAACAAGCGUCACGAAGAAUUGUCCGGUGACGCCUGUGGUUCAUGACACUCUCCACCUCAGAGUUGGUGGCAGACAACCCGUCCACAUCCUCCGUCGGAGGAGCGUCUGGCGCGCGCCUUGCGUUCGCAUCCGCCUCCUGACCAGGCUUUGGAGCCUGGCUGGUGGAGGCGCGAUUGACAGCCUCUCCGGAUGUAGUCCGGCGAGGUCUCUUUGUCCUGAAAAGAGCACGAGUGUCAAUAUGCCUCUGUCACAUCUCUAGCUGCUGGUAGUGCUCUAGGCUAGCUCAUGUGUGCAUCAUGUUUAAAUUCUGAAAAUUUGAACUGAGGGAAUUUUGGAAGCCUCAAAAACUUAAAUAAAAGAGGGGCAAAAACCCUAGAAAUCUCAUUCAUUGCUCCAAAAUGCUCUUCUUAAAUGUUUGAUAAUUUUUGGUAAGGGUUCUGGUCCCAACCAAAAUAUUGAACAUUUUUAAGGAAUUAUUUUUGGGACUUUGGAUUUAAUUCAUUAGCUAUUUGAAUUUGAAUUAUACUCAUAUAAUUAGAAUAUAAUUUCAAAUACCCCUGAUAUAUUUUAUAAGCUUUUGGAAAAGUCCAUUUAGCAAUAUAAAAUAUUCAGAGGAGUUUUUGGCAUUGUUUGAAUUAUUUUAAAUUCAAAACAGUGGCAAAAUAAAUUAAAUAAAACAAAACAGAAGAAAAAAAUAAAAAGAACAGAAGUCUACCUGAGCCACUUACCUGUAGCCGGCCCAGCGCGGCCCAGCCCGCCACCGCUACUCCCCCCCUGUCGUCUUCCUCUUGCCAGUGGGAGCAGCUGCGUGCUCGCACGCGCGCGGCCGAGGAGGCCACCUCCUCCCUGCCUGGCUGCCUCCUCCUUCCCUGGUCCCUCCCACGACGCCACGCAGCCCCGACCCCCUCUCACUUUCCCCUCGCUCUCUGGACCUCCCUCCCCCUCGCUCCUCUGUUUCCCCUCCCGCGACCGAACGGAGCCGCCGCCACCGACGAGAGCCACCAUGGCUACCGGCCACCCCACGGCUCACCGACGCCCCAGGAAGCUCCGCCGGUCCUCCCUCUACCUCCUCAACGAGCCACGAGGCCCCGGACGUGCCACAACACCGCCCUCGAUGCCUUCUUCAACCUCGGGACCGCCGGCCAUCUUCGUCAAAUUCGCCGGCUCCGGACCGUCCCCGACCUCGCCGAGCGUCCCCUCGUCAUCGCCGUGAGUCACUGACCCUCUCCCCUAACUCAGCAUGCUCCCCUCCGUGUCGUAGCGCCGUUCCCCACGAGCACCGAAGCCACCGUCCGCCAUUGCUGCUGCACGCAUAGCCUCCGUGCUCCCCUGGCCUCACUGAGCUGCUCUUAGUGCUCCCCAUGUCUAGCAGGUGCUGCCCAGCCUCUCCAUUUGCUCACUGAUGCACCGUAGCGACGCGCCCGAGCACCACCGAACACCAUCGCCGCCAAAGCUCGUCGCCGGCAUGAGUUCCGGCGACCCCACGACCUCCCACUCGGUCCUCUGGAUGCGCGGGAGCAAGGGCCAUCCGCUGGUGCCCUCAGCGCGCCAAACUGACGCCUCUAGCGCAAGUCCGGCGUGCCCCACCGUGUUCUGUGGUCGCCGUCGGCUGGUCUCCGGCGUGCUGACGUGGCGUCGUCAUUAGGGGCUAAUGACCCUGCUAACUAACCCUGUGACACUGACAGCGGGCCCCGUAGCGGGUCAAAGCCCGAGUCAACGCGGGAUUAGCCCCUGUGUCACUGACGUGUGGACCCCACACGUCAGGUUUGACCCGAGCCGGCCCCUGUUGACUUGCUGACGUCAUGCCAACGUCAUGCUGACGCAGUAAUGUUUUCUGGAUUUAAUUUAAUUCUGAAAAUCCAGAAAAUGGUAUAAACUUCUAAAAUUCAUAGAAAUUCAACCGUAACUCCAAAUUAAAUAAUUUAUAUAUGAAAAAUUAUCAGAAAAAUUCAAGGAGUCCAUCUGUACCAUUUUCAUGCAUGUUAGAACAACUUAUAGCUGCUGUUUAGCACAAAUCAAUUAAAUGGCAUUUAAAUAAUCACAUAUGGAGUUUGAAUUUGAAUCUUGGAUUCAAACCAACUUCAUUUAAUCUGGGUUUAGUUGCAUUAGCCCAAAACACAUUCAUUUUCCCAUGUCAUGAUCAUGCAUCAUAUUGUGCAUUGCAUUGAUUGUGUUCCUUUCUGUGUUGCCGGUAUUUGUCCCCUCUCGAUAGACGUGAUACCGAUGAUGUGAUCGAUGACACCGAUGAAGAGCUAUGCUAUCUUCAGAAGUGCCAGGCAAGCAAAACCCCCUUGUUCAUUUCGAUAAAAUCCCACUCUCUCGCUCCUGCUCUCUUUUACUGCAUUAGGACAACAACGACAUUUUGUUACUUGCUGCGGUAGCUGAACCCCUUUAUCCUUUGCAUGACCUGUCAUUGCCACAGUAAAUAGAUGAAACCCACUAGCAUGAGUAGGAGUUGUUUGAGCCCUGAUGUGCCUAAUCAUUCAUGCUUGUUGUCAUGCCUGCUAUUGCUUAGAGUUGAGUCAGGUCUGAUUCAUCGGGGAUGAAUCAGAGGCGUGUGAACAUGUCCUACUGUGUGUGAGCUAAGUGUGUGAACACGAUUUGGUAAAGGUAGCGGUGAGAGGCCAUGUAGGAGUACAUGGUGGGUUGUCUCAUUGCAGCCGUCCUCAGGAACUGAGUUCUGUGUUUGUGAUCCAUGAUUCAGCUACUACCACGCAUUGGGCCCGAAACCAAUGGACCCUCUCGGCUUCUUAAUCACCCUUGUCCUCUGUCCAGGAGUUGCAAGUAGUUUCUGGUGUUUGUAGUAUGCUGGAGGCCGUGCGCAGCGCUGACCGUAGGGGUGGGCUGUGAUGCGGUAGGCACGUGGCACGGUGUACCGUGCGCCCGUUUGGUGUCUCGGGAACCCUGUUCACAUCGUUUGGGGCUGUCAGCGAAACUCCGGCCGGAUCUCCUCAUGGAUGGAACCCGAAUAGGCGAUAAACCUGGACUAGAGACUCGAGUGUUUAGGCAGGCCGUGGCCGACACCCACGUUGGGCUUCCGCUUGAAGGUUGCCGAGUACAUGUCGUGUAAACGGCGGUAAGUGGUGAGAGCGUGUGUGAAGAAGUACACCCCUGCAGGGUUAAUAUGAUCUAUUCGAAUAGCCGUGUCCGCGGAAAAGGACUUCUGGGUUGCUUAUAUCAGUUCAUAGACAAGUGAAAGUGGAUACCCUAAAAUACGCAAGAUAAGCGUGAGUGCUAUGGAUGGCGUUCUCGUAGGGAGACGGGAGCGGUUCCAUAGUAGUGUAUUGAUAUGGUGAAUAUGUGGACUCGUGUGCGCCACCUCAAAAGAGUUACUUGCAGUCGUAGUUCAGGUUAGCCACCGAGUCAAAGCUGGCUUGCUGCAGUUAAACCCCACCAUCCCCUUGUUGAGAAUGAUGCAUAUGUAGUUAGUUCUGAUGUAAGUCUUGCUGGGUACAUUUGUACUCACGUUUGCCUAUUUUAUGUUUUUGCAGAGAGACUUCAGUCUCACUAGUAGUUCCACGUGGACUUCGACGUUUAGCUUGUUACCUCAGCUACGAUCUUGUGCCCUCGGCAGGAUCUGGUAGAUAGUCAGGCUUCUCAGCCUUUUUCAGUUAUAGAUGUCUGUACCCAGACAUGAUAGCUUCCGCUUGUGCUUUGACUUGUAUGCUCUGAUUGUUGGGUCAUGAGACCCAUGUUUGUAAUAUCUCGCUCCUCGGAGCCUAAUUAAUAAAUUACUUGAGUCAUAGAGUCAUGUUGUGAUGCCAUGUUGUAUUUGCACAUAUCGAGCAUAUUGUGUGUAUGUUAUUGAAAUGCUUGGUAUGUGUGGGAUCUGACUAUCUAGUUGUUUAUCCUUAGUAGCCUCUCUUACCGGGAAAUGUCUCCUAGUGUUUCCACCGAGCCAUGGUAGCUUGCUACUGCUCCGGAACACUUAGGCUGGCCGGCAUGUGUCCUUCUUCGUUCAUGUGUCUGUCCCUUCGGGGAAAUGUCACGCGAUGAAUACCGGAGUCCUGUUAGCCCGCUACAGCCCGGUUCACCGGAGUCCUGCUAGCCCAGUGCUACAGCCUGGAUUCACUCGCUGAUGACCGACACGUUCGAUGCUGGGUCAUGGAUGCCUGUCCCUGUAAGUUUGUGCCACUUUGGGUUUACGACUAGCCAUGUCAGCCCGGGCUCCUUAUCAUAUGGAUGCUAGCGACACUGUCAUAUACGUGUGCCAAAAGGCGCAAACGGUCCCGGGAAAAGGUAAGGCGACACCCGUGGGAAUACCGUGCGUGAGGCCGCAAAGUGAUAUGAGGUGUUACAUGCUAGAUUGAUGUGGCAUGGAGUCGGGGUCCUGACAGCGUUGGUAUCAGAGCUUGACUGCCUGUAGGAUUACCAAGCCAAACUGGUCGAAGUUGAGUCUAGAAAUUCUUAGUUAUAUGUAAGGGAAUUGAUUGUGGGAUGGAACGUAAGGCUCUUUUACUCCUUAUACCUCAUGGCCCUCUGAUCUGAGUCAUCAUCUUCUCUUCUACGGGGAUUAAGAACUAGGCUAUCUCUUCUUUCUAUCAGGAUCACGUAUUACUAAUCCGUAGAUUUAUAAGAUUGUUGGAUUUAAGCUUGAGUUCAGUUUCUACUACUUCCGUAUGUUAAUUGUUGAUCUCGAAAUCUUGAUAUUGUGCUUCUGAGUGGUUAUGCCACCAUUUUUGUGAAUGUCUCAAAUCUUUUCUGAGCAUUUACAGCCGUUAUGCUGUCCGAGUCAUCCCAGGUUUCUAAGUAGUCUGAUGCAAUUGCAAAUCUUUUCUUCCCGUUUCAAUGUGCCCAUGGGCCAGAUUAAUCACACAAAUUGUUGAGUUGAGGUAUUCUAUUGCCUUGACUUUUAUGUUGGAGUUACUAUUAUGACCCUAGGUAUUUAGGGAGUCACCUAGUAAUCUAGCAACGUUUUGUGUUCCCAGUGUGAGAUUCUGGCCUUUAUUCUCGAAAGCAUCCCGUGAUGCCACUUAGUAGUAGGUAUUCUACUCCUUGGGUUUUGAACCCGAGAUUCACCCUACUUGCUUCAUGUUGAUAGUUUUGCUCGUUCCUUUAGGUUAUUAGUAACCUUUGCAUUAGUCCUCGAUGUUCGUGGUAUUCCUUUCUUCCAAAUACUAUGAACCGCUUAUGGCAGAUGUUCCUCGCUGAUCGAAAGAUCACAAUCAGAGUGCUCUUGAUGGGUUCUCGAUUCUACAUUGUGACUCUGCCAGUUCUACCUUUCUGUAUGGGUUAUCCGGAAGAAAUAUGUGGAAUUCGUUCGACAUGCUAAACCAUGCAUCCACAACUCAGAAAAUCGUAUGUUCCUUUGAGUUGUCCCUCUUUAGUUGUCUUCUGACCCUCGUCUAUCAAUUGAUAGUCAAGAGUAUGCGUGCAUUCGUUCGUCAAUGCCUACUACCCUUGUGGUCCGCCAAGCCAUUCUAUUUCAGAAUGACUAGGAGAAACAAACUCCAGUACCUCUUCCAUAUCUAGGAUUGGGUCAAAACAAUUGUACUCCGCAGAUCAAAAUGCCAAUCCAGCUUUUGCUCUGUUCUGCCUUGGAGUAUUACCAUCUUUUAUAUCGGGAUUGUUAUAGGAAUUGCACACCAUCCUAUGAACUCUUGGUACAGUGAUACUUUUGCCAUCAUUGUUCAUUCCUCGGUUCCUGUGUUAUUGUAACCGGAAUGCCGACAAAUGAAUCAUGGCGUGUGAAAUCAAUACUGCUAGCAACUCUGUUGCUUGGUAGUUAAAGGAUAAUAAUUUCAUUCUUAGCGUGUUGGUUCUUGAAUCAUCAUUCUAAGACUGAUCGUGCUAUCUAGUCCUUAUUUCCGGUGCACCCUUCGAUCAAUAAGUUAGGAUUGUGUCAAGUCCUCACUCAUUUGAUCAUAUCAUCUUGCCCUGAAAAGCAAGAUUGUUCUCGAUCUUAGUAACAUAUCGGUGGUUCGUGAUUUUCCGAAUAUCUUCUCGAAAGUAUCACCAGGUUGUCACCUGACUGUUAUGUUAAGCUCGUGAUCAAGUUGGUUUAUCCUGUAAACCACCCUUUCUCCAAGAAUCCGUGUUGGAUACCCCUGAGCUAGUUGGUUAAGCUAUGCAUCAACUUGGAGAGUUGGAAGAUAGAAGCUUGUCCGAUAUAGUUCAUUAUAAGGGAUGUCUUGUAUAUGUGUUGAAGAAAGUUGAUAUUUUCAUCGACUGAACCUCGUGAUCAGUUAAUGGACCUAUCAUUUUAUCCAACCUUUGAUUGGAGUAUGGGCUAUCAUCCAAUCAGACCAGAACCAACGAUAUUCGUAAUGUUGUCUUACUCGUGGUUGAUCCCUCGAGUAUACACCAUUAUAUCUUUUGGGUCUGACCUAUGCUAUCACUUGUUUACUUAACUAUGGAAUUCCUUUUAAAGGGAAACCCGGAAGAAUUGUUGUUGAGCCCAUUGACAACAUCCUUAUCUCCUCCAUGAUUUUGUUGAACAUUAAGCUAGUGUUGGAAACUUUUGAAAGCAUUAUCUUCAUGCUAGCUCAUGAAGUAUUUGUUUGAUGAAAGGAGUGACUUCCUCUUAUACACGUGCAUUUGGUGAAAGUUGCUGCCGUGGAUUUGAGAAAGUUAGUUUUGCUUCCUCUGGAAUCAUCCCAAGUCAGUCAUGCAUAUGUGCGAAGUAUUCUGUGGUCUGGAGACUUGCAACCUCCAUUCUAUAUGUGUCCCUAGCACACCAAGCCACUGAUUGAGUUGUUCAAAGAUAAAGGAGUCUGUCCAAGGUGAACUCUUUGGACUUCCACGCGUGGAGACUUCGAUGUCAUUAAUGAUGGCUCCCCCUCCUGAACUCGGUAGUGUUUUAUUAUAAGACUACUUUGUGGUCAUGCUUGUCUGGGACAACGUGUUCACAUGUUUGUAGCAGAACCCGCUCAUGUUUUGGAGCUUGCUAUCGUAGUUCAUCUCCCGAGAAUCUCGCAACGUCAUCUCGUCGAUUUGUGUUGCAAACUUUCAUUUUUCUUCCUAGACUCGAUGAGCCUGGAAUAUUCUGACACCAACCAGAUCUGAAUCUCAGGCAGAUAUGAUGAUUGGAACAUUUCCCCAAGAACUAUAAUAUUGGUCUCUCGAUAACCGGUAAGGUGGAUGUCGUGGCCAACACACCCCGCCGGGAGACCUAAUAUCGUAGUAUCUUGAUUAAGGAAGUUGGCCACCUCCCCAUAAGGAUUUCGUAAGAUCUACCUCCCUAGUUGUUCCUUAUGGAUUUUUGUGUUUCCGAAGUCCGACCUUUUUACUUGAUGUUCUAGAUAUCAAACCAUAUCUAUGAAUGGGUUACACUAGCACAUCAAGGAGAACAUUAGAAGCGGAGUGCCAAAUGUCUCUCGGUCGAUCAUCCAGAUUUUUAUUUCCUUGGCCUCGCUAAGGUGAAAUCUGAGAAAGUGUUAUCCUCCUUUGCAUCUGCAUCGUCCAUCGCUAUUCAUCAUGGUAGUAUGUUGUGUUGUCAGCACCCUUGACACGGAUGCUGAUAAAACCUUGAUGAUUGUGGAAAUGCUCAAGUUCUUGAGAGCAUGUACAAGCGCUAUGUGUUAUCAUCGGCUCUAACUGGGAUUCCUCUCAGUUUCCUCGGCAAUGCUAUGGCCUUUUUAAACAGUGGAUUCACUCUCUAUGGUUGGGUCCUUCCCCAGUUACCAGGAUCAUUCCCAGCAUUUGCAUUUUGUUCCCAGCUUGCACCAUCAAUGUGCCAUUCUACCACGGGUCUCUUCCAUCUCCGGUGGUAAGGAAAUUCAUUCAUUGCGUUGUCUUCAACAAGGUAAUACACAUCAUCCAAGUCUGAGUAUGCCAUUCUACCGACCCCUUCCAAACGAUCGCUCGAGAAUUGCCUUAGGCUGUUUAAAGAGUUUCAAUGAUCUUUGAAUCAAAGGUAAUUCUUUUGCCACUUAAGGCAAUAAUCUACGAAUCACCCUCCUCCAGGAUGUUUCGUCGUGGUAUCAUGGCAACUCAACUCCUCGCUACGUGGGCAAUCGUUUACCACCUUCUUAAGCGUGAAAUUGUUGUCCACCUAGUGAACCUUCGUCAUCCAUUUCUUUCCACCCCUCUUGAUGUGUAUCUCGUGUCUCAACCCGAGAGAUGGCUCUAUGUCUCAUUCCGUGAGUUGUUCGGUCUUCUAGAAGAUCGAUCCUGCUAGAGUCUCCUUCUUCUCUCCAUGUCAUGUUGGCAGGAUUUCUCAGAACAAGACGACAAGACAAAGAUGGUGUUCAACUCAACGUUCAUUUGAAGUGCAACCUGGAUCAUGAAGAUUGUACUAGUUUGCGUUUUCCCCUUCAUCCUACCCUACGCUUGAAUCUCGAGACGAGAUUCUUGUUUAGUGGGGGUGAGUUGUCACAUCCCUAGCUGCUGGUAGUGCUCUAGGCUAGCUCAUGUGUGCAUCAUGUUUAAAUUCUGAAAAUUUGAACUGAGGGAAUUUUGGAAGCCUCAAAAACUUAAAUAAAAGAGGGGCAAAAACCCUAGAAAUCUCAUUCAUUGCUCCAAAAUGCUCUUCUUAAAUGUUUGAUAAUUUUUGGUAAGGGUUCUGGUCCCAACCAAAAUAUUGAACAUUUUUAAGGAAUUAUUUUUGGGACUUUGGAUUUAAUUCAUUAGCUAUUUGAAUUUGAAUUAUAUUCAUAUAAUUAGAAUAUAAUUUCAAAUACCCCUGAUAUAUUUUAUAAGCUUUUGGAAAAGUCCAUUUAGCAAUAUAAAAUAUUCAGAGGAGUUUUUGGCAUUGUUUGAAUUAUUUUAAAUUCAAAACAGUGGCAAAAUAAAUUAAAUAAAACAAAACAGAAGAAAAAAAUAAAAAGAACAGAAGCCUACCUGAGCCACUUACCUGUAGCCGGCCCAGCGCGGCCCAGCCCGCCACCGCUACUCCCCCCCUGUCGUCUUCCUCUUGCCAGUGGGAGCAGCUGCGUGCUCGCACGCGCGCGGCCGAGGAGGCCACCUCCUCCCUGCCUGGCUGCCUCCUCCUUCCCUGGUCCCUCCCGCGACGCCACGCAGCCCCGACCCCCUCUCACUUCCCCCUCGCUCUCUGGACCUCCCUCCCCCUCGCUCCUCUGUUUCCCCUCCCAGGACCGAACGGAGCCGCCGCCACCGACGAGAGCCACCGUGGCUACCGGCCACCCCACGGCUCACCGACGCCCCAGGAAGCUCCGCCGGUCCUCCCUCUACCUCCUCAACGAGCCACGAGGCCCCGGACGUGCCACAACACCGCCCUCGAUGCCUUCUUCAACCUCGGGACCGUCGGCCAUCUUCGUCAAAUUCGCCGGCUCCGGACCGUCCCCGACCUCGCCGAGCGUCCCCUCGUCAUCGCCGUGAGUCACUGACCCUCUCCCCUAACUCAGCAUGCUCCCCUCCGUGCCGUAGCGCCGUUCCCCACGAGCACCAAAGCCACCGUCCGCCAUUGCUGCUGCACGCAUAGCCUCCAUGCUCCCCUGGCCUCACUGAGCUGCUCUUAGUGCUCCCCAUGUCUAGCAGGUGCUGCCCAGCCUCUCCAUUUGCUCACUGAUGCACCGUAGCGACGCGCCCGAGCACCACCGAACACCAUCGCCGCCAAAGCUCGUCGCCGGCAUGAGUUCCGGCGACCCCACGACCUCCCACUCGGUCCUCUGGAUGCGCGGGAGCAAGGGCCAUCCCCUGGUGCCCUCAGCGCGCCAAACUGACGCCUCUAGCGCAAGUCCGGCGUGCCCCGCCGUGUUCUGUGGUCGCCGUCGGCUGGUCUCCGGCGUGCUGACGUGGCGUCGUCAUUAGGGGCUAAUGACCCUGCUAACUAACCCUGUGACACUGACAGCGGGCCCUGUAGCGGGUCAAAGCCCGAGUCAACGCGGGAUUAGCCCCUGUGUCACUGACGUGUGGACCCCACACAUCAGGUUUGACCCGAGCCGGCCCCUGUUGACUUGCUGACGUCAUGCCAACAUCAUGCUGACGCAGUAAUGUUUUCUGGAUUUAAUUUAAUUCUGAAAAUCCAGAAAAUGAUAUAAACUUCUAAAAUUCAUAGAAAUUCAACCGUAACUCCAAAUUAAAUAAUUUAUAUAUGAAAAAUUAUCAGAAAAAUUCAAGGAAUCCAUCUGUACCAUUUUCAUGAAUGUUAGAACAACUUAUAGCUGCUGUUUAGCACAAAUCAAUUAAAUGGCAUUUAAAUAAUCACAUAUGGAGUUUGAAUUUGAAUCUUGGAUUCAAACCAACUUCAUUUAAUCUGGGUUUAGUUGCAUUAGCCCAAAACACAUUCAUUUUGCCAUGUCAUGAUCAUGCAUCAUAUUGUGCAUUGCAUUGAUUGUGUUCUUUUCUAUGUUGCCGGUAUUUGUCCCCUCUCGAUAGACGUGAUACCGAUGAUGUGAUCGAUGACACCGAUGAAGAGCUAUGCUAUCUUCAGAAGUGCCAGGCAAGCAAAACCCCCUUGUUCAUUUCGAUAAAAUCCCACUCUCUCGCUCCUGCUCUCUUUUACUGCAUUAGGACAACAACGACAUUUUGUUACUUGCUGCGGUAGCUGAACCCCUUUAUCCUUUGCAUGACCUGUCAUUGCCACAGUAAAUAGAUGAAACCCACUAGCAUGAGUAGGAGUUGUUUGAGCCCUGAUGUGCCUACUCAUUCAUGCUUGCUGUCAUGCCUGCUAUUGCUUAGAGUUGAGUCAGGUCUGAUUCAUCGGGGAUGAAUCAGAGGCGUGUGAACAUGUCCUACUGUGUGUGAGCUAAGUGUGUGAACACGAUUUGGUAAAGGUAGCGGUGAGAGGCCAUGUAGGAGUACAUGGUGGGUUGUCUCAUUGCAGCCGUCCUCAGGAACUGAGUUCUGUGUUUGUGAUCCAUGAUUCAGCUACUACCACGCAUUGGGCCCGAAACCAAUGGACCCUCUCGGCUUCUUAAUCACCCUUGUCCUCUGUCCAGGAGUUGCAAGUAGUUUCUGGUGUUUGUAGUAUGCUGGAGGCCGUGCGCAGCACUGACCGUAGGGGUGGGCUGUGAUGUGGUAGGCACGUGGCACGGUGUACCGUGCGCCCGUUUGGUGUCUCGGGAACCCUGUUCACAUCGUUUGGGGCUGUGAGCGAAACUCCGGCCGGAUCUCCUCAUGGAUGGAACCCGAAUAGGCGAUAAACCUGGACUAGAGACUCGAGUGUUUAGGCAGGCCGUGGCCGACACCCACGUUGGGCUUCCGCUUGAAGGUUGCCGAGUACAUGUCGUGUAAACGGCGGUAAGUGGUGAGAGCGUGUGUGAAGAAGUACACCCCUGCAGGGUUAAUAUGAUCUAUUCGAAUAGCCGUGUCUGCGGAAAAGGACUUCUGGGUUGCUUAUAUCAGUUCAUAGACAAGUGAAAGUGGAUACCCUAAAAUACGCAAGAUAAGUGUGAGUGCUAUGGAUGGCGUUCUCGUAGGGAGACGGGAGCGGUUCCAUAGUAGUGUAUUGAUAUGGUGAAUAUGUGGACUCGUGUGCGCCACCUCAAAAGAGUUACUUGCAGUCGUAGUUCAGGUUAGCCACCGAGUCAAAGCUGGCUUGCUGCAGUUAAACCCCACCAUCCCCUUGUUGAGAAUGAUGCAUAUGUAGUUAGUUCUGAUGUAAGUCUUGCUGGGUACAUUUGUACUCACGUUUGCCUAUUUUAUGUUUUUGCAGAGAGACUUCAGUCUCACUAGUAGUUCCACGUGGACUUCGAUGUUUAGCUUGUUACCUCAGCUACGAUCUUGUGCCCUCGGCAGGAUCUGGUAGAUAGUCAGGCUUCUCAGCCUUUUUCAGUUAUAGAUGUCUGUACCCAGACAUGAUAGCUUCCGCUUGUGCUUUGACUUGUAUGCUCUGAUUGUUGGGUCAUGAGACCCAUGUUUGUAAUAUCUCGCUCCUCGGAGCCUAAUGAAUAAAUUACUUGAGUCAUAGAGUCAUGUUGUGAUGCCAUGUUGUAUUUGCACAUAUCGAGCAUAUUGUGUGUAUGUUAUUGAAAUGCUUGGUAUGUGUGGGAUCUGACUAUCUAGUUGUUUAUCCUUAGUAGCCUCUCUUACCGGGAAAUGUCUCCUAGUGUUUCCACCGAGCCAUGGUAGCUUGCUACUGCUCCGGAACACUUAGGCUGGCCGGCAUGUGUCCUUCUUCGUUCAUGUGUCUGUCCCUUCGGGGAAAUGUCACGCGAUGAAUACCGGAGUCCUGUUAGCCCGCUACAGCCCGGUUCACCGGAGUCCUGCUAGCCCAGUGCUAUAGCCUGGAUUCACUCGCUGAUGACCGACACGUUCGAUGCUGGGUCAUGGAUGCAUGUCCCUGUAAGUUUGUGCCACUUUGGGUUUACGACUAGCCAUGUCAGCCCGGGCUCCUUAUCAUAUGGAUGCUAGCGACACUGUCAUAUACGUGUGCCAAAAGGCGCAAACGGUCCCGGGCAAAGGUAAGGCGACACCCGUGGGAAUACCGUGCGUGAGGCCGCAAAGUGAUAUGAGGUGUUACAUGCUAGAUCAAUGUGGCAUGGAGUCGGGGUCCUGACAGCCUCGAAGGUAUAACACCUGGGAUAAGGGGGCGCGCCAUACCUUUGCGCUGAUGCCUCGGUCCGGACUGCACUUCUUUUCUGCCCGCGGGGCCCUAUGGCCCCUCGUUGGCUUGUCGCCGCAGGUUCGGCCUUCCGCCUUAAAUACCUCCCCUGCAAAGUUCGGUUGCAAUCAGGAAACUGAACAUGAGUGGGCGGACACCUAUUCGGGGUACUUGGACUUUGAUCUCAGGUACCUGGGGGGUCAGGAUUAGCCCUGGGUAAUCGGCCGUAAUGGCCACCAAGGCGUUGUCCUUACUCAAUUGAUGGAACACUCCAUCAAUCAGCUCCACAGAUAUGUCCGAAUCCUCUUGGGAGGUCGGGUCGAGGGACCGUCCUGGGUCCUCGGGUUGUGGAGGAGGGCUGCUUAUUUCCUUAACAGCCCGGCGCAGUUCCUGCAUUGAAGUCGUCAGACUAAAUAUUUAACAAUGGGAAUACAAAAUGGAUGGACAAGUAAAUACGGCCGCUUACCCAGCUUGGGGGAUUGUGCAUGGAGAAUCCACCCUGAGGGUUGACGCGGAGAAAUUUCUCCUCUCCUCCCUAAUACAAAGUGGACAAGAUCUUUAGUAGAGCGGCAGCCGAGUCCGGCCCCUUACGGCCGUAGCGGGUGGCGUCGUCCUCCCCGUUGAAGUCCCACAUGGGGUGGCUUCUAUACUGAAGCGGCUGCAACCCCCGCAUAAUGCAUUCGGCCAUAACCCCGAUCAUGGUUAGUCCGAAAUGGGUUAACAAUCUUAUUCAGCCCAUCAGGUAAAGGAUGUCCCUUUCACCUCCCCUCUGAGGGCUCCGUGGGCGCCAGCUUAGGCGCUUCUUUAAGGGAGCACUGUUGAAUUCAUUCCGAGGGCCAGUCUUCAGACGCCUUCUUUGGGGUUCCGGAUAGAUAUCCGGUCCUGGCGAUGCGCCACACUUCGGCUCCGCCCACUUGAUACAUUGACCCCUUCUUGGAAUGGGACACGAGGCAAAAUAGCUCCUUCCACAGUCCAAAAUGAGCUUCAACACCCAAGAACAGCUCGCAGAGGGCUACAAAGCCCGCGAUAUGCAAUACUAAGGUAGGCGUGAGAUGAUGUAGCUGGAGGCCGUAGAACUCCAGCAGCCCCCGGAGAAAUGGAUGGAUUGGAAAUCCGAGCCUCCUUAUUAAGUAAGGGACGAGGCACACCCGCUCUCCUUUGGAGGGAUUAGGGGCAUUCUCCGCUUGCUCUCCGCCGUUGUAGACGGCAGGAACGGCUCGAACCGGGACCCUAUAGGCCGGGGGGAGAAAUCCCUUGGUCUGGAGCGUCACUAGCUCGCUAUGCGGGAUGGAACAUCUCUCCCAAUAUCCAGGCUUAGGGAUGGAAGGGCGAGGGGAGGAGUUGCGACGGCUGGCCAUGGUGGAAUGGACCUUUGUCGGAUGCGCUCUGAUGAACACUCGCGGAGGGGAGAAGGUGUGGAUUGGAUCUAAAUCCUCGUCCACUUAAAUAGGGCAUCUCAUUUACGCGGCUAUGGGUGUGAAUGUAAAAACACUCAGACUUUUCAUAUUCGUUUGGCACGUGGGAAACGGCCAUUAUUGGGCGUAGAAGCCAAGGAGCGCAAACAUCUACAAGAAACCAGACUUUAUUCAACAGGUACACGGAAUUUGGAGGAGAACCCGCCCUGCAAUGCCGAAGACAAUCUGCGCGCCGGACUCAUCGUCAUUGAAGCCUGGUUCGGGGGCUACUGAGGGAGUCCUGGAUUAGGGGGUGUCCGGACAGCCGGACUAUAUCUUUUGGCUGGACUCCUGGACUAUGAAGAUACAAGAUUGAAGAUUUUGUCCCGUGUCCGGAAGGGACUUUCCUUGGCGUGGAAGGCAAGCUUGGCGAUACGGAUGUGAAGAUCUCCUACCAUUAUAACCGACUUGGUGUAACCCUAACCCUCUCCGAUGUCUAUAUAAACCGGAAGGUUUUGGUCCGUAGGACAACGUACACAUCAACAAUCAUACCAUAAGCUAGCUUCUAGGGUUUAGCCUCCUCGAUCUCGUGGUAGAUCUACUCUUGUACUACCCAUAUCAUCAAUAUUAAUCAAGCAGGACGUAGGGUUUUACCUCCAUCGAGAGGGCCCGAACCUGGGUAAAACGUCAUGUCCCUUGCCUCCUGUUACCAUCCGGCAUAGACGCACAGUUCAGGACCCCCUACCCGAGAUCCGCCGGUUUUGACACCGACAGCCACCUUCUCACCCAUGUAGAGGCAGUUACUUGGCAAGGGUAGUCGGUUCAGCCCGUCCCAUUCCAGGUCUAUGGUCAGUACGGUUUGCGCCGCUUUUGAAGUAAGCGCCAGUUGGUUAUGUCCUAAUGUGAUACCCUAUGUAUAGGAGCCCGCCAUCCAAGCCGACCCUACCUGGGUGGCUUUCACCAACAUGAGCUCCCCUACCCACCAAAUAUUUAUUUAUCUAGUAACCCUGCCCGGGUCACAACUACUUAAUAUAGAUACUUCACCUGGUCUGGUCCAACUGCCAAAUCAGUGGAUCAGCUUGAUCCAAAUUUCAUUUUGUUUACGGAAAAUAUUUACUUUUAAUUCUUAUGCAAAAUUUUGGAAAUGACUCAUAGCCCGGAAAACAUUUAUCAAGACAUGGUCAAGGAGACGACGACUUGCCGGGUAGCGCUCCGACCAACUCAGAACCACCAGAAGUGGGUCCUAUGGGUCCGAGAUCGACUCCUGAUAAUUAUUUCACAAAGAAGUUUAUAUUUUCCCUAAUCAAGAUCCAAGCAUCAAGCAACACUUCCAUACAGUGCAAUCCAUUUUAAUUAAAGAGGUAAUGAUACGUGCUGGUGUGUAAUUAGAAGCAAAAUGCAUACAGCACAUCAACAAGUAGUACGCACGUGCACAUCAGAAAGAGCAAGAAAGCAAGCUCAAAAGGAAAAAUGUGUUUAGCUGGUUGAACCCAACCUCGGCAGAAAUAUCAUUUUUUUAUCCAACUAGUCAUCUUCCCCAGCUCUCUUUCUCUCUCUCACUGUCACUGGUAUGCUCAGCCGAACAGAACCAACUCAUCUCUCUCUCCCUAACUACAGAGCAGGCCGCCGCCGGCUCGAUCUGCCACUUCCGGCAAUCUCCGGCGACACCGCGGACACCCACGAAAUCCCCUCGACUCCCUCUACCAUAUUACCCCAAUUAUUUGAUCUGCCACCGCCAAAAUCGCCGCCACCACUCAAUCCUAGCGCCGCCUGAUCUAGGUCCGGUGGGCUUGCCACCGGCUGCAGCGGCAACGACGUCUCCAUGCCUACAUCCCCCCCAGCGCAGCCACACGCACGAGGCAUGCAGCCACGGGCGUCGGGCGCGUGCGGCUUCACCGGCGCUGCUCGGUCGCCAUGGCUCUGUUGCUAACGGUGUGGACUAGCCACAUCCUACUGCUACUACUGGUAAGUGCUAAUCCUGAUUCCUUCUCCAUGAAGUGCUCCAAAUUUCACAACAAGUGCCUGCUAUAUGUGAACGUGGGUGUGCAUAUGUUGUUCAUUUUAUCCCAGGCCCUACUAUUCCCCACUCAGCCAUACUGCCUUCUUUCUCUUUGUUUAUCUCAAGGCCAAGAAAUUAAUUAAGAUUUAAUCUAUGGUGUGGUCAUGGUAUUGCUACUGAUUAGAUCUAAAUAUUGUUCCUAACUAGUGCUACUCAUCCUUGAACAUCAUAUAGAAGUAAACAGUGGCAGUGAAACUCCAAAAAUAAUUACUUGUGAGUAGAUUAUAAACAUCAGUCUCUCAGUGUUUGCUACAGAUUGGCAGGGAUUAAUAAUUAGGACAAGGUAGUAUACACAGGAAGGUUGAUCCUUUGGAUACAUACAUGUCUUAGCAAGUUACUAGUACCUAGGAUUUGAUUCUUGGCAUGUUAUAUCUAGUACAAGCCACGGAUGUCAUUCACAGAAACUUUUACAAGCUUUUGCAAUUGAUCUAAUUAGUUUGACUAACUUGGGUGUUUACGCAAACAUUUUGUUCUUUUUACAGUAAGGUAAAGAGAUCAAAGUGAAUAGAUGCUCAUGGACUGAUUCAAACCGAGGUGGAGAUAGAUAAGAAAUCAAGCAAGAAGGGAUAACACAACAAGGUACUUGAUUAGUACCUGGUGGCGCAUGUAACCCAAAGAUCUUCACCGCAGUGAAGGACAGCAGUGUGGCAGAAGGUGAAAAGACAAGUGGUGGGGGUACUCCAGCGUAUGUGUGUGUGAGGUAGAAUGGUCCAGUGAAAGGGAUGGCUCCUAUUUAUAGUGGGGUGAAUAGCUAUGUCGGUUUGAAGACACAUUACAUUUGGCAUGCAUGCGUGGUUAGUCUUGCAUGCAUGCCUCCACUUGUGUCUCUUGUGGGUUGUACUAUGGACAUGUGUAAUUUGCUUGGCUGGCCAUUAGUUGGCAUUUACUUUAUGUGAAAGAAAUGAGACAAGGGUUUAUAAAAUAUAUGGAGGUUUGGAGAAGAAUUUGUUUUGCAUGACUAAAUGCUAUUUGCUCUAAUAAUAAAUGUAGUUGUUUCUAUUAUUUUAAUUAAUGUUUUGGCAACGCCGUUGAAAUUAU